ensembl:scaRNA
CUGGAGGGCAUGAAAACAGGCUCUUUAAGCACUAGAGUUCUGCUGAUACUCACCUCCUACAGCAAAACAGUUGUGUGAUGAGAACAGGCUGACUUCUGCAAGUCUAGUGCAGCCUACAGACACCACAAACACUC